CAAUGGUAUACCCUUGUUCGCCCUUCGUACGUACACGCAAAUCCUUAAGAACUGACUUGCCUUGAUUCAUUCAAAUAUUCUACAUUCAAAUAUUCUAAUGAAAUUUGAAAUAAUCCUUUUCAAUUCUUAAACCCACUUUUAAUGACAGCCGCCGUAUUUCCGUUAGCAGCCAUCUUCAAUUUUGUUUUCACAACAGUAUCAUUGCUCUGAGAGUGGGUGAUUGGGUUUGGUUGUUUUCGCAGGAUUAAUCAGUGUUAAAAAGGCGAAAACUUUUUUAUUAUUCUUGAGCAAAAGUGAAAUGCUGUAAAGUUGAAGGAUACUAAAAAUUGACACCACGACCAGGGCCAAUUCGUUGUCCUUGGUUUGUAAGUCAAGAACCCAGUUUUACGUUGCCAGUCCAAAAAACAACUCUUGGCCAUCCAUUAAGGAUUAUCAUGUCUUCCCUGCUGUUAUUCCUGUUAUGAUGUUCGAAGCAUGAAUGCUGCUUGCUGGCUGAUGAUGUCUGAUAUCAGCUUUAAGUUGUUUUUCCUUCACCAAAAUCAACUGUUGCGAAUGUCCUUAGAAUGACACUAAAACCAAAAUACUGUCUGUUUGAAAAUUUGUCUACUUUGUCUUGAAGAAGGGUGAACAUUUUGAAAUAUUAUCUCAAUGAAAUUUUA